rnacentral:lncRNA from 1 species
CCACUACAUCCCACUCGUAUUUCUUGUAGAUACAGGGUUUCGCUAUGUUGCCUACGGUGCUCUUGAACUCCUGGGCUCAAGCGAUUCUCACCUCGGCCUCCCAAAGUGCUGGGAUUAUAGGAAUGAGCCAUUGCACCCGGCCUGGGCCUCUUUUAAAAAAGUGAGAUUUGAGCAAUGAGUUGAAUUAGAUGUAAGUUAGCAACAGGUAUCUGGGGGAAAAGUACGCCAGGUAGAGAGAAUAUCUUGAGCAAGGGUCUUAAGGUGGGAGUGUUCUAACAGUAAGGAGGCCAGUGGCAAAAGAGUGAGUGGGAGGAGAGAGGAGCAGAAGAGGUCAGGUAGUUAGCAGAUCUAGUAGUUAAUCUUCUAGGGCCUUUCUGGCCUUCACUCUGAGUCAACUAGUCUUGUAGGUUUUUAAGCAGUGUCAUAAUGUGAUUACUUUUUUAAAAAAUCAGCUUUUCUGAGUUUUUUUUUUAAACACCCUUUCAACCCAGUUUUUCCUGACUCUGGGAAGAACCAGGAAGAGACGGCCCUGAAGUAUUCUUUUUUUUUUUAGAUGGAGUUUUGCUUUUGUUGCCCAGGCUGGAGUGCAAUGGUGCAAUCUCAGCUCACCACAACCUCCGCCUCGCGGGUUCGAGUGAUUCUCCUUCCUCAGCCUCCUGAGUAGCUGGGAUUACAGGUGCCCGCCACCAUGCCCGGCUAAUUUUGUAUUUUUUUUUUUAGGCGGAGUCUCGCUCUGUCACCCAGGCUGGAGUGCAGUGGCACAAUCUCAGCUCACUGCAAGCUCUACCUCCUGGGUUCACGCCAUUCUCCCACCUCAGCCUCUGAAGUAGCUGGGACUACAGGCACCUGCCACCACGCCUGGCUAAUUUUGUUUUUGUAUUUUUAGUAGAGACAGGGUUUCACUGUGUUGGCCAGGAUGGUCUCGAUCUCAUGACCUUGUGAUCCACCCGCCUCGGCCUCCCAAAGUGCUGGGAUUACAGGUGUGAGCCACCGUGCCUGGCCUAAUUUUCUAUUUUUUUAGUAGAGACGGGGAUUCUCCAUGUCAGUCAGACUGGUCUCGAACUCCCAGCCUCAGUUGAUCUGCUCACCUUGGCCUCCCAAAAUGCUGAGGUUACAGGCAUGAGCCACUAUGCCCGGCCUGAAGUAUUAUUUUCAAACAAUAAAAUAUACCAAUUUUGAAAACAAUUUGACACAUUGUGACAAUGUACUUUUUUGGGGGGCCUUUUGUUUUGUUUUUUAAAAAGAUGGUGUCUCACUCUAUUGCCCAGGCUGGAGUGCAGUGACAUGAUCUCGGUUCACUGCAAUCUCCACCUCCCGGGUUCAAGCGAUUUUUGUGCCUCAGCCUUUUGAGUAACUGGGAUUAUAGAUGCAUGCCACCAUGUCCAGCUAAUUUUUAUAUUUUUAGCAGAGACGGAGUUUCACCAUGUUGGCCAGGCUGGUCUUGAACUCCUGACCUUAGGUGAUCCACCACCUUGGCCGCCCAAAGUGCUGGGAUUAUAGGCACAGUCGUG